UGACCGCUGGCGGCGUGCCUAAUACAUGCACGUCGAGCGAACAGAUGAGGAGCUUGCUCCUCUGACGUUAGCGGCGGACGGGUGAGUAACACGUGGAUAACCUACCUAUAAGACUGGGAUAACUUCGGGAAACCGGAGCUAAUACCGGAUAAUAUAUUGAACCGCAUGGUUCAAUAGUGAAAGACGGUUUUGCUGUCACUUAUAGAUGGAUCCGCGCCGCAUUAGCUAGUUGGUAAGGUAACGGCUUACCAAGGCAACGAUGCGUAGCCGACCUGAGAGGGUGAUCGGCCACACUGGAACUGAGACACGGUCCAGACUCCUACGGGAGGCAGCAGUAGGGAAUCUUCCGCAAUGGGCGAAAGCUUGACGGAGCAACGCCGCGUGAGUGAUGAAGGUCUUCGGAUCGUAAAACUCUGUUAUUAGGGAAGAACAAAUGUGUAAGUAACUAUGCACGUCUUGACGGUACCUAAUCAGAAAGCCACGGCUAACUACGUG
rnacentral:rRNA from 1 species